GAUGAACGCUGGCGGCGUGCCUAAUACAUGCAAGUCGAGCGAACGGACGAGAAGCUUGCUUCUCUGAUGUUAGCGGCGGACGGGUGAGUAACACGUGGAUAACCUACCUAUAAGACUGGGAUAACUUCGGGAAACCGGAGCUAAUACCGGAUGAUAUUUUGAACCGCAUGGUUCAAAAGUGAAAGACGGUCUUGCUGUCACUUAUAGAUGGAUCCGCGCUGCAUUAGCUAGUUGGUAAGGUAACGGCUUACCAAGGCAACGAUGCAUAGCCGACCUGAGAGGGUGAUCGGCCACAAUGGAACUGAGACACGGUCCAGACUCCUAAGGGAGGCAGCAGUAGGGAAUCUUCCGCAAUGGGCGAAAGCCUGAAGGAGCAAAGCCGCGUGAGUGAUGAAGGUCUUCGGAUCGUAAAACUCUGUUAUUAGGGAAGAACAUAUGUGUAAGUAACUGUGCACAUCUUGACGGUACCUAAUCAGAAAGCCACGGCUAACUACGUG
rnacentral:rRNA from 1 species